CCUACGGGUGGCAGCAGUGAGGAAUAUUGGUCAAUGGUCGGGAGACUGAACCAGCCAAGCCGCGUGAGGGAGGAAGGUACAGAGUAUCGUAAACCUCUUUUGUCAGGGAACAAAGGCGGGGACGUGUCCCCGGAUGAGUGUACCUGAAGAAAAAGCAUCGGCUAACUCCGUGCCAGCAGCCGCGGUAAUACGGAGGAUGCGAGCGUUAUCCGGAUUUAUUGGGUUUAAAGGGUGCGCAGGCGGUCUGUUAAGUCAGCUGUGAAAACUACGGGCUUAACUUGUAGACUGCAGUUGAAACUGGUUUUCUUGAGUGAAGUAGAGGUUGGCGGAAUUCCGAGUGUAGCGGUGAAAUGCGUAGAUAUUCGGAGGAACACCGGUGGCGAAGGCGGCCUGCUGGACGACAACUGACGGUGAGGCGCGAAAGCGUGGGGAGCAAACAGGAUUAGAUACCCCUGUAGUC
rnacentral:rRNA from 1 species